ACACAACAUCAGUAAUCUACAGUUAUUACAUCGAUACACAUCGAGUCUUUAUUUUACUAAUCGAGUUACCUCAAAUUCACAUCCAAACAUCAUCAUGUACAAGCUUUUGUUAUUGGUUGUUGCCGCUUUGGCUUUGAUCGCUGUUGCUUCUUCUCAAAAUAUCAUUUACUACCCACAUACCUACGCACCGGUGUACACCUACCCAUCGUACGCCUACACUUACCCAGUAUCUUACAAUCCUUACAUCACUCUCCUUCGUCGGUGAAUAAAUAUUCUACCAAAUCAAAAACUACCAUGAGUUAUUCUGCCGCUAUCCAACGUCGAUCUUACGAAAAUAUACUAAGUACAUUAUUCAUAAUUGUUUAAUAUUUCUUCACACUUAAUUCUUGUAUCUUCUUGUAAACAUGUAUUUAAUCGCUAUUUCAAACUUUUUGAAUUAUUUUUUAAAGAACUGUUUAAUGUAAUAAAUAUCAUAAUUUAUUGAAA